GCUGAGGUCUAUCCCGACAAACCUUUAACCGUAAGGCUGUGUCGUUGGAAAUGCCUCAGAGAGUAAACCUGCGGUUUCGCUUUACCCUCAUGUUCACUACCAUGAGCAUGGUGGGAUAUUACUGCAGAACACGU